CUUAAAUUUUGGUUUAUAUCAUUAUUUAAAAUAAUAUUAUAUGAGUAAAAGAAUUGAACUUUAUCCACAAAAAAGUACUGAGAAGGAAAGUCUUGUCAAUUUUAAAGAAUUUAUUUAUUAUACCUUUUGUAUCAGGGUUUAUUCAAUUUUGACCACUAUUGUCAAGUCCCGAAAUAAGGUGAUUUAUGUUAAUUAAAGAUGAUUGUUUCAUAACUCUCUUAAAGAUUAACAUCGGUGUAAAAAAUAUUUCGUACCUAUAUAUCUGGUUGGCAGAAGACUCCUUUAGGGUACUCCGGAAGGAAGAUUUUCUAGGGGACGAGCUCUAGAAAAAAUUAUAUCAAAUUAUUCCCAGCGAUAUGAAUAGGCUUAAAAGUUGCCAGGGUGUAAUAACCAGGGUCGUUUAAAUAAUAAUUUAAAGUUGAUUAAUUGAAUCUAGCCGAUGCUUAUUAUUAACAUUGAGCAGUCAUAAUGAUAAAAUUAGUAUAUGUAUAAAAUGCAAUAGA
rnacentral:rRNA from 1 species